GACGAACGCUGGCGGCGUGCUUAACACAUGCAAGUCGAACGGAAACGCCCUGCUUUUGUGCGGUGCUCGAGUGGCGAACGCGUGCGUAACACGUGAGUAACCUGCCCUUGACUUUGGGAUAACUUCAGGAAACUGGGGCUAAUACCGUAUAGGAUCUCCUGCUGCGUGGUGGGGGUUGGAAAGUUUAGGCGGUUGGGGAUGGACUCGCGGCUUAUCAGCUUGUUAGUUGGGUAGUGGCUUACCAAGGCUUUGACGGGUAGCCGGCCUGGGAGGGUGACCGGCCACAUUGGGACUGAGAGACGGCCCAGACUCCUACGGGAGGCAGCAGGGGGGAAUAUUGCACAAUGGGCGGAAGCCGGAUGCAGCGACGCCGCGUGCGGGAUGACGGCCUGCGGGUUGUAAACCGCUUUCGCCUGUGACGAAGCGUGAGUGACGGUAAUGGGUAAAGAAGCACCGGCUAACUACGUG
rnacentral:rRNA from 1 species